GCCGAAGUGGCGGAAUUGGCAGACGCGCUACGUUCAGGGCGUAGUGGCCUUAAGGUCGUGUGGGUUCGACUCCCACCUUCGGCA
rnacentral:tRNA from 1 species